rnacentral:rRNA from 1 species
AUUGAACGCUGGGGCAGGCCUUAACACAUGCAAGUCGAGCGGAAAGAAGAGGUGCUGCACCUCUGGCGUCGAGCGGCGGAACGGGUGAGUAAUGUUGGGAAUAUGCCUUAUGGUGGGAGACAACAGUUGGAAACGACUGCUAAUACCGCAUAAUGUCUACGGACCAAAGUGGGGGACCUUCGGGCCUCACGCCAUAAGAUUAGCCCAAGUGGGAUUAGUUAGUUGGUGAGGUAAUGGCUCACCAAGGCGACGAUCCCUAGCUGGUUUGAGAGGAUGAUCAGCCACACUGGGACUGAGACACGGCCCAGACUCCUACGGGAGGCAGCAGUGGGGAAUAUUGCACAAUGGGCGCAAGCCUGAUGCAGCCAUGCCGCGUGUGUGAAGAAGGCCUUCGGGUUGUAAAGCACUUUCAGUAAGGAGGAAAGGUUAAGUGUUAAUAGCACUUAGCUGUGACGUUACUUACAGAAGAAGCACCGGCUAACUCCGUGCCAGCAGCCGCGGUAAUACGGAGGGUGCGAGCGUUAAUCGGAAUUACUGGGCGUAAAGCGUACGCAGGCGGUUUGUUAAGCGAGAUGUGAAAGCCCCGGGCUCAACCUGGGAACUGUAUUUCGAGCUGGCAAACUAGAGUGUGAUAGAGGGUGGUAGAAUUUCAGGUGUAGCGGUGAAAUGCGUAGAGAUCUGAAGGAAUACCGAUGGCGAAGGCAGCCACCUGGGUCAACACUGACGCUCAUGUACGAAAGCGUGGGGAGCAAACAGG